CGACCCCAUGUCAGGCGGGACUACCCGCUGAGUUUAUGCAUAUAAAUAAGCGAAGGAGAAGAAACUUACAAGGAUUCCCCUAGUAACGGCGAGCGAACCGGGAGUAGCCCAGCUUGAGAAUCGGGCGGCUGUGCCGUCCGAAUUGUAGUCUGGAUAGGCGUCUUCAGCGACGGACGGGGCCCAAGUCCCCUGGAAAGGGGCGCCUGGGAGGGUGAGAGCCCCGUCCGGCCCGGACCCUGUCGCCCCACGAGGCGCCAUCAACGAGUCGGGUUGUUUGGGAAUGCAGCCCAAAUCGGGAGGUAGACUCCGUCCAAGGCUAAAUACAGGCGAGAGACCGAUAGCGAACAAGUACCGCGAGGGAAAGAUGAAAAGGACUUUGAAAACUGAGUCAAAGAGUGCUUGAAAUUGCCGGGAGGGAGGCGGAUGGGGGCCGGCGAUGCGCCCCGGCCGUAUGCGGAACGGCUCUUGCUGGUCCGCCGCUCGGCUCGGGGUGUGGACUGUUGUCGGCCACGCCGGCGGCCAAAGCCCGGGGGCCCUAGGUGCCCCCGGUGGCCAUCGUCGGCAAGGCCGGUACCCGCGCGCCGAAAGGCGUGUCCCUCGGGGCACUGCGCUGCAACGGCCUGCGGGCUCCCCAUCCGACCCGUCUUGAAACACGGACCAAGGAGUCUGACAUGCGUGCGAGUCGAUGGGUUCUGAAACCUGGGAUGCGCAAGGAAGCUGACGAGCGGGAGGCCCUCACGGGCCGCACCGCUGGCCGACCCUGAUCUUCU
rnacentral:ncRNA from 1 species